GUGAUAUGCAUCUAUAAAGCUGAAUUACUAGAUAUCAGCAGAUUGAGACUAGUCAACAAUAUAUACAUACUUGUAGUUUGUGUGUUUGUUUUUUUUCUAAAUGGAGUUUUGUAGUUUUCUGUCUUUUUCUUACUGGAUAUUUAAUAGAUAUUAUAAUUGGAGUACAUGUAGUUAGAAACACACUGCAAUAAGAGUAUUUGGUUUCAAAUAAAUAAUAUACAGUACUGUAUUUGAUUUACCUGGAGCAUGUGCAUUAAUUAUCUAAACAGUAUUGUCUUAAUGCUUGGUACAUUUAUAGUCAAACCUAGUUAUAUUUUGGACUCAUGGUACACAUGUACCAAGAAAAAUCUUAGAGAUAUUCAUAAUAUAGGUUAUACAUAUUUUACAGUACACAUAAUUUUUUUUUCUAAAACUCACUCUUACAAAGUUCAUGGUAAUCAAGAUAUCUAUGUUCCAGAUAUAAAAAAGUAUUGUCUUUGUUUGAAAGGGAUUGUCAUAUAUGCUGCUUUUUUGGGGGGUUUGUGCGUGUAUUACAUGCAUAUUUACCAAAGAUUUUCCUGAAAUGUGUUGAUAGCACCAUUCCAGAUUUGUACAAAAAUUAGUUUUGGACAUCAUUUUAUGUAUUUUGAAUUGACCAUUGUUAUGCAAGCAUACUAUAUUCUUGCAAGCUACGAUCUCUGUAAUACUUUUUAUUUUGUUUACAAAUUGUGAAUGCAAUGUAGUGUGAAUUUAUUUACAACAAUGUUUAUGAAUGCAUGAAUCUUAUUGUUAACCUUCAAAUUUUGAUUUGACCAUGAUUUACAUGUACAUGUAUAUGGUUCAUUAUUUAUACUGUUGACUAUCUGUGAUUACAAAUUAGGUUUAAUACAUUAUAUGAUCAAACUCUUUAUUCAUUAUGGAAUCCAUUUGAUACAUUAUUUUUAUCUGCAUUUUCUUCUUAAUUACAUUAAAGAUUGCUGAAAAG
rnacentral:misc_RNA from 1 species